UACGUAGGGGGGCAAGCGUUGUCCGGAUUUAUUGGGCGUAAAGAGCGUGUAGGCGGCUUUACAGGUCCGUUGUGAAAACUCGAGGCUCAACCUCGAGACGCCGGUGGAAACCGUAAAGCUAGAGUCCGGAAGAGGAGAGUGGAAUUCCUGGUGUAGCGGUGAGAUGCGCAGAUAUCAGGAGGAACACCCGUGGCGAAAGCGGCUCUCUGGGACGGUACUGACGCUGAGACGCGAAAGCGUGGGGAGCAAACAGG
rnacentral:rRNA from 1 species